CAUUUUUGUACUCAUUCCGCUAUUUUGUUAAAAUUAUUCCAUUGCAAACAGAUUGGGUGUCUGAAAUUCGGAGUCCAUUUUUGUACUCAUUCUGCCAUUUUGUUAUAAUUAUUCCAUUGCGAACAGAUUGGCUGUCUGAAAUUCGGAGUCCAUGUUUGGUUAUCGUUCCAUGUUUCGCGCACCAAUAUAGGUUAGGGUUAGGGUUAGGGGUUAGGUAUUAGGGUUAGGUUAGGGGUUAGGGUUAGGUUUAAGGUUAGGGUUAGGGUGUGUAUAUAUGUGUAUGGAGGUAUCCAGUUAACUUUUCA
rnacentral:lncRNA from 1 species